UCUAAGCCUAAGCCUAAGCCUAAGCCUAAGCGUAAUCCUAAGUCUAAGCCUAACAAGCCUAAGCC
ensembl:ncRNA R06C1.8 ncRNA